ACUGUAGCGUGUGCCUUAUUUGUGGAUCUUACCACGUACAGGAGGUAAAUCAGAUGAGAUGGCCAAUUAGCAGAAACAUUGGGAAACAAACAGUAGAAGUAACAGAAAUGUUCGGAUCAUAUGAUUAGGACAGCAAGGUGUGCUCCUGAAACUGGACGCCGAACCUGUUUUCCCAGUUUAUUCAGGGUGUGGGACCUGCCUAAGCCAGAACAUAUUUCAACCACCUUCGUAAAGACAGCUAACAACAUGACCAGAGCCAAGAAAGAUGCUAAACAACUGUCUACAUAAUGUAUUGGCAGAGUGAAGUCAUAACCCCAGAUAGCUGCUAGCAUUACCUGUUUGCCUACACAAAGUGACACAGGUCCACGGUAAUGGCCUACACCAACCAAGACUCAUUUGGCGUGUACAGAGCCUCAUGACACUCAUAUUGGGGAAUUUGAUGUCAUAUAUGACACCUGCACUCAGCAGAGCUGCACAAAGGAUUGUGUUGGCCCUCUCACUAGAUAGGGAUCG